UCAGUGAAAUUGAAAUCGCUGUGAAGAUGCAGUGUACCCGCGGCUAGACGGAAAGACCCCGUGAACCUUUACUACAGCUUGGCACUGAACAUUGACCCUACAUGUGUAGGAUAGGUGGGAGACUUUGAAACCGCGUCGCCAGAUGUGGUGGAGUCGUCCUUGAAAUACCACCCUUGUAGUGUUGAUGUUCUAACGUUGGCCCCUGAAUCGGGGUUACGGACAGUGCCUGGUGGGUAGUUUGACUGGGGCGGUCUCCUCCCAAAGAGUAACGGAGGAGCACGAAGG
rnacentral:rRNA from 1 species